rnacentral:lncRNA from 1 species
CCUUGUAUGAAUAUGGGUGAAUGAGUCAUGUUCUAAAAAGCGCUCUGAGUAAAAGAGUAGAAAAGGUGUCAUAUAAGCACUAAUCCAUUUACCAUUUAGAAAGUUUUUUAUUACGGAUGAAAUAAUUUAUUUGAUUCUUGGUGUCAAGAAAAACUACAAAGUGAAGUAGGUUCAUUAAAUUGUGAGUCAUGGGUCUUUUUUAAUGUGCGGGCGCCAUCUAGUGAGGGAUCACAGGAUUACACCAGAUCUGACGAAUUCAAGACCUCAUUUUUAAGUGGAUAGGUCACACGGGGAGGUCACGGUUUGUUUUAGACCACUCCAAAUUAUAUGUAGUUGUUGGUGCACGUGUACAUGUUUUAUGCUUUUUAGGGCAGGGGUGUGGGGGGGAGUGGGGAGAAAGAAAUGCCCUCAAAGCAGUUACAAAGUGACAGAUGGGAAUCCGCGUCACGUUGCAAAAAAAUCCACGGGUGACAUGCACACAGAGCUUCGAGCAAAGGUUUCGAGUCUCGCUGCACGCGCGCAUCUUCACAGCCUGCGUCCUCGCCAUGACAACCGGUGUUCUGACAAACCGGCUCGCAUCACACACUAAUCCACCGAUGUUUAUUUUUAGCAGCGAGCCACUCUCGUUCAGCACACGUCCCAUGUUCAUGCCGUCAAUUAUUCAUAUGUUUUAGGCCUGCAGCGACCACAGAGCGGGACUAACACAAGUCGGAGUUGCGGGAUGCCGAGAACCAGCCAGGGUGCAGAAAUGCACCCGAAAACUGGCAGACAGCAGACCAACAAGCAGCCAGCUGCACAGAUAAGAUCAUUUUACAUUCAGCAAAAAUGGAUAAAAAAGCCACCAAAGGUCCCACAGCCACCAGAGCCAGACUACAGACAAUGCAAAGGCCCACUCAGUGCUGCAAACCAUCCGGCAAACCAGACACCAUCCAGGACUGACUACAUGAGCAUCUAUCAAAAUGAUUUUAAACACUGGGAGGGCAGCAAGCGCCAGCCAAUCAUCCUGAAAGACAGUCUGACAGUCAAGCAUGGAUUAGGCAACAUGCUCGCACUGGCGAAGGAACCAGAACGCAUUGCAAACACCACCAGCUAUAAAUCGGAUUACAUCCCCCACCCAACAAACCCCAGACCAGUCAAGCUGAAGCACUCUAACCAAAGCAGCAAGGAUCUCCCGCUGGAGCCGAGACUGCCCUUCAAGCCAAAGCAGCCUUGGUCUACACACCAACACCUUGACAAAGGCAGUGAUUUUUUUGAGAAGUUCAACAGUUGUUCCCUUGAAACCAAGUUUCAGGGCCACACCACAGAUUUCUCUUCACCAGCAGACCACAGCGUUCACUGCCAGGUGAAAAAUCUGCCAGCCCUCGAGAUAAACGACGUCCCCCGCCAUGCAGCGAGUACCGUGACGGACGACUACAGAGUCUGGCAUUCGCCGCAAAGCUUCACCACUGUGAGAACCACUUUGUCAGUGGGCAAACCUAAAUCUCCUGACGACAGCAAAGCCAGCCCAAAGACUUUGAGACAACACGCCAAAAUACACAAGGCCGCAGCCUGUAAUUCCUCCAGAGGUGCCACACAGAAACCACAGAGUCCUGCAGACACUGAACUGCUUUCUAGCUUCGAAUGCUCCACAGAGAACGGAGAAUCUAAGAUGUACUGGUACAGCGAUUUGGGCCGAGGAGGGACUUGGCCUGAUGGCGACAGCUGUAUAGACCACAGCAACCAAAUAAUCAGCUGCAUGGUUUCUACCAGAAACUAAGGUGGCUGACAAGGUGUGGUCCCGCCACAUAUUACCUCAG